rnacentral:rRNA from 1 species
GACGAACGCUGGCGGCGUGCUUAACACAUGCAAGUCGAACGGAAAGGCCCUGCUUUUGUGGGGUGCUCGAGUGGCGAACGGGUGAGUAACACGUGAGUAACCUGCCCUUGACUUUGGGAUAACUUCAGGAAACUGGGGCUAAUACCGGAUAGGAGCUCCUGCUGCAUGGUGGGGGUUGGAAAGUUUCGGCGGUUGGGGAUGUACUCGCGGCUUAUCAGCUUGUUGGUGGGGUAGUGGCUUACCAAGGCUUUGACGGGUAGCCGGCCUGAGAGGGUGACCGGCCACAUUGGGACUGGGAUACGGCCCAGACUCCUACGGGAGGCAGAAGUGGGGAAUAUUGCACAAUGGGCGGAAGCCUGAUGCAGCAACGCCGCGUGCGGGAUGACGGCCUUCGGGUUGUAAACCGCUUUCGCCUGUGACGAAGCGUGAGUGACGGGAAUGGGUAAAGAAGCACCGGCUAACUACGUG